rnacentral:pre_miRNA from 1 species
GAUGUACUCCCUCCGUUCGGAAUUACUUGUCGCAGAAAUGGAUGUAUCUAGACGUAUUCUAGUUCUAGAUACAUCCAUUUUCGAGACAAGUAAUUCCGAACGGAGGGAGUAUAAU